UUUCAGUGUUAGGUCCACAGCACCCAACGAUUGGAACAGUUUGGCAGCCGGUUUGUUGUUUUCGAGGACACAGAAGUUCAGCCUCUUGCAGUUCUCAAUUAAGGCUGCCUUUAAAUUACAGGCACAGCAGACGAUUCACGGUGCAGUGGCGCUUAGUUUAAACACAGCCAAGUGACGAAUCGCUACAGCGGCCAAUGGUAAUCCUCUCUGCUUUGAAAUUUUGAGGCGCACAGUUUACGAUUCGGUAAAACAAACAAGUUGACUGGUACGAAGCCGAAGUAAUUACAGUCCCCGUAUCAUUUACAACAACAACGCUACAUGUAACUUUUUCCCGCUGUUCAACUCUGUUACAACAUGGGAAUUUCGUGAAAUGGCGGUCGUACGGCUCUAGCGAUCGACAAAAAUGUGGGAGCCACAACCAGUUUCGCAUAACAGGCGGUAACAUGAAUGGACAAUAGCUUUGAAAGAUGUUGACGAUGACAACAGCAAUCACAAUGAUUAAGAACGGAAUACCGACGCACUGUAGUGUGACAGUUCCAGCAAUCGAGAGACCCAAAACAGUGGCUGGUAAAAUGAGAAACAUGAUAAUAAGAGCAAACAUGGCAAACCAUCGAUAUUUGGCAGUCACGUCGCCCAAGAACUUGGCCAUCGGAAUGGGUAAACGCAUGAACGGAAUAGGAUAGAAGAGUAAAAUUCCCGUCACGUUGAAGAACAGAUGGACAAACGCUAUUUGCAUCGUGUCAUGCAGAGCGUCCGGUGAAGCUGUUAAGGCUGCAAGAAGAGCAGUUGCAGUGGAGCCAAUGCUGGAUCCCAAAGUCAAUGGAUAAACUCGUUCGAUUGAAACGAAACCCAUACCGAUGAGAGGAUCGAGUGCCGAGGUAAACACUAGGCUGGAACGAAGAAGGAAAGUCAUCCCGGCUCCGACAAGAAGCGCAAUGUAGCCCGUUAGCCAAUGAACGUAAGGGAUAUUGCCAUUAAUCACGUGCCUGAUGACGUUGGCUAUGUGCCCUUUACAUUUUAAUUAUUACCAAAACUGUGCUUAGGAAUUCAAAUUUCAAGAUUUACCUUUCAUCAUUGAGUGAAGGAUUUUCACAAGACAAAUCAGAGUGCCGCAGAGAGCAACGAGCGAAAUCGACAAGAUUAUCAAACCGAUGGCCCAGUCUUCCAUUCCUGUAUUCUCAAAAACGAAAACCCCAUCUGAAAGUGAAACGUUGUUAUUUAACGAUAUUUGCAAUGCAAAAAGGUGUUCAACAAAAACUUGCCGCAUGGUAUAGGUUCGCUGAUAUUGCCACCACACCGUCGUAUUAGUGAAGAAUUUUCAUAUUGGACGUCGUCAUUUGCCCAGCCUUUAAGAACUUCUGGAUCCAGCUUUAAUAAAUUAGCGUCAACGAUUAGUAACAGUACCUUGAUUAAAAAUCAUUUUAUUUUCAAACACCUGUACGAUAAGAUCAACGAAAGGGUCCGUCAUUUCCUUCAACAGUGAAAUUUCAUACUUCCAGGUGGACGAACUAUUGACAUUUUGUACUGCGAUGCCACUUAACCACUCCAAAUACCCAACGCCAAAUAGAGGAUCUUAACAACCAAAUGAAGUAGAAGAAAUGUCCUCGUGAUUGAAUAGAAGAAAGAGCUUACGGCAAAGGAUUUCGACGGUAAAUAGAACCAGCAUCGUGAUCCAUUUGAAAAUGUCAUGAACCAUAGCUCCAGCGAAUGCCCGCCGGAAUUCGUUUUUGUUUCCAAUUUCGGCAAAGGAAACGAUCGUAUUGGGAACGCAGGUGCCCACAUUAGCUCCCAUAAUGAUUGGAAUGGCUAGUGCGACUGUCAAAACUGGACGAAGAACAAAUUAAUUACAUCAUGCAUCGAUUUCUUCUCGAGAACAGAACAUGUUCGUACCGUUAGCUCCGACCAUGCUUACUAUAAUGGAAGAAGAUGUGGAAGAACUCUGGACAAGAACCGUAACUAAAAUCCCGAUCAUCAAUCCAACAACAGGAUUUUGGAUCAAUCGACUCUGCUGAAAAAUUGUACCUUUUAAAAAGGGAAUCAGUUGAGUCAAAAUGAUUAUAACUGAAAUGGAAUGAACCCACCAGCAGUUCUUCCGGAUGUCAGGCGGAAAGCGCUGGCCAACAAAUCCAGUGAACAAAUCAAGAAAUACAAGAAUCCAGCAACAGAAAGGAUUUUGAUCGUAUUGCUGAGAAUUCGAGUUCCCUUGGCUUUUGUGCUCAUGUCUAUAAAGACGUUAUUCUUUUUAAAAUUCAUGGACAAAAUCUAAAAUUACGUACCUGCCCAUUUCUCCGAAUUGUCUACUAGAUCCACUAUCGCCCAAGGAUCUUCGUCUGCUGGCUCCAUCGACGUGACGGUCCUUAAAGUGCCAUAGGACACAUUAAAACACUGUCUCCUUUCACUACUUUGUUCGCCAUCGAAUUUAAUCAUUGCAUUAACAAACUUUGAAUAUUGCAGCUUCCAUACGAGGCACUCGUUCUUGCACAGACGAAAUUGCUACGUCCAAAGAAUGCAAAACGUUGAACUUGUAAGCUCAAAAAUCAACUGUGGAUGAACUCAAAUGUUUGUCUGCACACUAUCAGCAUAGGAACCCUCCUACCAGGUUUGAGUUUGCACAGACUAACAAGAACCUUCUGUUAUUUGGCGUUUCUAUUGUAAUGCUUAUCUAGUGCUAGACUAUCUAUCCUGUGAGUCAGCUGGAAAACGUAGUCCAUUUUCAACCGUCGCUAACUUUAUUUUCACUGAACAGUAACACAAUACCGGAUGUAGUUUGUUCGCUAUUGUUUACCGAAUUUGAUUGAAACUAAUGGGACCUUACUAAACUCGAAAUUGCCAACCGACGACAUUUGAUUGAGGCAAUGCUCGCUUUGCCCAUUUGACUGUCGCAAAAAAAAGCGGAUCGUUAGGGCUAAAAAAAACUAUUUUAAAUCGAAAAUUAUGUGAUUGCGUAUGGGUAAGACUUACCUAAAGGAAGAGACGUAACAUUUUCACUUAACUCGUUUUUUAUUUCACUUAACGGGGCUGCCGCGAAAGGACGGAUAACAUUGCGAGUGCUUGUUAGCUGAGGGCUGCACAAUGAUAGAAUGUGAUGCCAUGCAAUGCAUUUGCAAUUUAGAAGCAUUUCGUUUUUUAAAGUCCAUCUUCUCUCACCUGUACAAUCGGCAUUUGCAAUCCCUUGGGCCCAUACGCUAGUCUUACGUCCAAUGCUACAGAAUGAAAAUUCCAUCCCCAAGUAAUAUAGAUUUACUGUUUUCAGGUUUUCUGCAUUGGUAACUAUAAGUGCAUAAAUUAAAGGUAUUGAAUCGCUCGUAUCCCGUUAGCUGCUCACUAGUGUACCUCAUUUUUGCUUUGGUUCUUUAUACUAACUUGAGAUAUUGUGAAUUUGACUUGAGAAUUCGGGCCGACGUCAAGCCUUCGUUUAACUGGAGUAUAAUGUCCAUUCAUUUCUUAUAUUCUUUGAACAAUAUCCACUGGGAAUUUACCUUGGUAAUGCGACACUUCAUAACGAUGCCUUAUUGUGGACUGCUCUUACAAUCGCCAUACAGUCGUUGAACAAGGUCUUAGCUGAAAAACAGCAAAUUUUUUAAGUGCUCUAACAUUUGAAUGAGAAAUCUUGAAUUCUUUGCCAACGCUACUGCAGGUAUUAUUUUCCAUAAUUUAAGAAAUGCAACAUCAGUUAUUGCGUGGUAGUUAAGCUCCUUGCGUUUUAUUCCAGGUGGCAAAGAACCUACCAUUUAAACGACUAGACCUCUCCAUCGCUGGAACCGCAAUAAGGAUAGUUUGGAGAGCUGACGGUCGUAAGGCUCCAACGAUCGACAGAAUUCCGGCAACCACAUCCAGUUCCUCAACACCGGUGGCAGCAAAGCUGGACGUUUCUUCUGUACAAUAUUGAUAACGGC